UAUUGCUUCUUCCUAAAACGUGCUACUCAGAUAUGACUGCAAAACCCAAAUGUACAGGGGGCAGAAGAAAAUGGACUAUCACGUGUGUUGAUGAAGAGUAUCAGGCUAGAGAGGAUUCCUUAGAGAAAUACCAGUCACUGAAUAUUAGUAGGAAGGGUUUGUCUCACCUCAUCUCUUGGAUUACCAAGUGAAUUCUUAUCUUACUCCUUUACAGUCCCUGGUAGACAUGAAUUCCAAGUAGAAGAUGUUGAUCCAGAAGAUUACCUCCUGAUUUCUACAACUAAUCAGUUUGAUGAAAUAAUCUUAGGGGUGGAGCUCUACAGCCGGCAUAAAGACGGGACCUUGAAUGAAAUGAUAAAAGAUAGAUUUGAGCAAAUAUGUCAGUUAUAUGGGCUUACAAAUGAAAAUAUCAUUGACCUGACCACUACUGAUCGAUGCUUCCUCAAUAAAAAGUAGGAAAAUUAGCAUCAGCCUGUAGCCUAAGACAUCUAACUAUGGAUUUUGUCCUAACAUCAGCAUGCCCUUUGGUUCUGAAAUCCAGCUGCAUAAUUGGAAGACAUCUUUGAUUCAAGAAGGAAAGACUGCAUUUGGUUCCAAGAGCAUUGUUGUGCUAGCUUCACAUCUUGUACUUCCCCUUUCUUAUUAUCUGUGUGAUGUUGGAUAAGUUAUUUAACCACUUUUUUGUGCCAGUUUCCUCAUUUAUAAAAUGGUGACAAUAAGAACACCUGCCUCACAGGAUUGUUGUGAGGCUAAAUAAGAUAAUAAUUGCAAAUUAUUUAGCAGCAAUACUUGGCACAUAGUAAGUAUUAUAUAAAUAUUUGUUAUUAUUAUUAUCACCCAAAGAAAGAACUAGAAUUUCAAGUAGGAAGAGGUGAUGCUUUUUCUCUCUUUAAUUUAAUUCUCAAAUUUUUGAAUAUCUUUCUCUUCAUCCCUUUCCAUGUUUUCCUUUUUUACUCACUCCCUUCUUCUCUCAUUUCAUUUUUGUAUCCUUUUUCUUACUCCCUGCUUUAUAUCUUCUAUACAUCAAUGAAGAUUUAAUGAAACAACUAUCUUGAGAAGGCAAUACUAUUUAUUAUCUUGGUGAGUAUGAACAAAAUAUUAGUUUAAAGUAUUUUUUGUUUUUCCAACUCAUACUCCCCCCCCCCCAAAAAAAAAAAGAAGUUAGGUCCAACUCUGGGGAGGUUUGAGGGAUGAAGAUUUUAAUUGUGCUUCUUUUUGGACAUUAUUUUUAUAUUGCUUUUUCUAUGGGAGUUGUUAAUAAAAAAUUCAAGUUUAUGUAAUCAUU